rnacentral:rRNA from 1 species
AACGAACGCUGGCGGCAUGCCUAACACAUGCAAGUCGAGCGAGACCUUUGGGUCUAGUGGCGCACGGGUGCGUAACGCGUGGGAAUCUGCCCUUGGGUUCGGAAUAACAGUGAGAAAUUGCUGCUAAUACCGGAUGAUGUCUUCGGACCAAAGAUUUAUCGCCCAGGGAUGAGCCCGCGUAGGAUUAGCUAGUUGGUGGGGUAAUGGCCUACCAAGGCGACGAUCCUUAGCUGGUCUGAGAGGAUGAUCAGCCACACUGGGACUGAGACACGGCCCAGACUCCUACGGGAGGCAGCAGUGGGGAAUAUUGGACAAUGGGCGCAAGCCUGAUCCAGCAAUGCCGCGUGAGUGAUGAAGGCCUUAGGGUUGUAAAGCUCUUUUACCAGGGAUGAUAAUGACAGUACCUGGAGAAUAAGCGCCGGCUAACUCCGUG